rnacentral:lncRNA from 1 species
CAAGAUCAAUUAACUAUGAAAUCUACUUCGGGAAUUUUACUUUAUAUCAAUAAUUAUUCCUUCAAGGAAUGUUCAUUGCACCUCUACUAUGUACCAAGCACUCUUCUAGAUUUUAGGGGUUCAACAGUGAACCAAACAGACAAAAAUCCCAGCCCUCAUGAGGCUAGCAUUCUAGCAGGGAGCAGAGGUAGUUAGUACAUUCAGCCCCUUCUCACAACCCCAGGAAGGAGUCCUGUGGAGAGGUGAUGGUGUGGAGCAGCAAGGAGCUGUCAUAAUCAAUCCAGCCAACCUUGCCCUGCCGUCUAAAGGGGAGGUUCCGAAAGCUGCAGUUUCCUCAAGAGAGAGGCAGAGGAAUGAAGUUCUCCAUAGACUGACUGGAACCAUCUGGGGAGACAGAGUGCAGUUGUCGGGUGACCUGGGGGACGUGGCCGGCUUGUCUCACUGGAGGGCCUGCCCGCCCUGCCUCCACUGUGGGAACUCUGUACAGCUGCCACUCUCUGUGACCUUGGGUUGUUUUGGUGGCACUAGCAGGCUGUGACAGACAACUGCCACCACACAGG